CUGCAUUCUUAAACCCUCUUGGUAGCUUCGUUCUAAGUGCUCCCAAGAUAUGAGUGAAUGCUAUAGAAAUUGCAGGGGAGUCCAAAGGGCUGCGCUUCUCCCGUGGCUCAGUCUUAUUUCAUACCUGCGACAUCU
ensembl:snoRNA SNORA14B small nucleolar RNA, H/ACA box 14B